CCACACGCCCUGCCUGCCAGUGUCACAGCCUCCCUCCCCCGCAUCCACUGCAGGCAGGCUUCCGAAGGAGCAAGAAGAACAGCUGCUGCGCCACAAUAGUUCCUUACAGAGCCGGUAAAUAGACAAGGCCCCAUUUUCUUGACCUUUGCCACCUCUGCUCCAUCCUCAGAAUGAGUGUUUUGAGUCUGGGCUGUGAGGGGGAAGGGAAGGAGGAUAAGCGAGGCUACUUUUUCACUUUGCCUUUCUCUGUCCUUAAAAAUAAGAGAAGUGUUCAUUGGGAAAUUUUGCUUAGUAAUUUUGUCCCCAGUCUUAAAAACAACCAAACACACACACACACAAAAAAACGAUGUCGUGUGACGUGUGCAUGUGUGUAUCUGUUUCACAAUCCCAUCUUAAGAGGAGUUGCUUCAUAAAAGAGGCCUCUCUUUCUUUAGGAGGCUGUGCGAUUUGCUCAGUGGAGGAGAAGCUCACUGGCAUUGUUCAAGCAGGUCACUGCACUUGGACAAGCUGGCCAGUGAGGGGGGACUCUGAACGCGGGUAGCAGCUCGGCGUUUCCAAGUGGGUAAAAAUAAUGUUAGCUCCUUCAGAGAAGCAAGUGGGAAUCCAUAUGCUCUUUCAGCUCUCAGGCAAGGACCACCCAAUAGCGCCUUUCACCAUGCAAUAAAGAAGCAUUUCUUCCUAUAGGAGCGUUUCUUCUUAGCAGGUUGGGAGCGUUGUAUCUGCACAGAGUUCCAAUGUGACCCUGGCUUGGUGGCUGUGAACUGCAUUUGGAAGCAACAGUCACCCCAAUCCACUGCCAUACAAGCUUCCAGCAGAGCAGCCCCAUGUGAUAGAUCUUUUCUUUUUGUGAAAAAGUCAGAGAGCAAGAAGUAAAUCAAAGCUUCGAGCCUUGCCUGCUAGGCUGUCCCUGCGUACGGAGCUCAAAGGUGAUGCUGCUCGCUCUCACCCCCUCACUAACAAAAGACUCCCUAAUCCUGAUUCCCUUACACAAAAAACGUGUAAAACCAGCCUGGGGACUGGAAAUAAAAUGAAUACUGCAGGAGCAGCUGGCACAUUAAUACCCCCCAAAACACUAGCUGGCACCUCACCCUGAAACCCAAUCAUUCUGUCUCGGUAGGGACUGGGGAGGGGUUUAGUUUUGCUAUAAUACAAUGAAGUAUAUUUUUAACAAAUAAACACAAUUUUGGCAGAGUAAAGACUCUGAUGCUGGGAAAGAUUGAGGGCAGGAGGAGAAGGGGACGACAGAGGAUGAGAUGGCUGGAUGGCGUCACUGACUUGAUGGACGUGAGUUUGAGUGAACUCCGGGAGUUGGUGAUGGACAGGGAGGCCUGGCGUGCUGCGGUUCAUGGGGUCGCAAAGAGUGGGACACGACUGAGCGACUGGACUGAACUGAGGCAUCAUUAGCUGGUAGAUGCUUUAUACGUUUGCUGUAACUCUCUGUACUCCUUCCAUCCUCAGUACCACUCCGCCUCCACACACACCCAGAAGAAAUAGCUGAGGAAAGAAGUAAUUGCCCACAAAUGUGGUAAAUCAGAAAAGAAUGGCUGUGCCCCAACUUUACAAUCAAAUAUUACUUCCCCUUCUGAUGAGCCACUGCCUGAACAACCCUCAGUAAUUUUAUUUUCAUUUCCUGAAGGCUUGAGUCUUGCCUUAUAGCUAGCAAGUUUUGUAUUUGGUCACCAUUUUCUGAGCUCUGUCUCUUGUCAGCUUUGCAUUUUCUCAAAGUAAACCCAGCCCAAACUUCUGGGAAAUCUAAGUACCGUGUCUUCAAGGUGGGUUGGAUAAAGAGUUGUGUUUAGAGAGCUAUGUAGUUUUCUUUGCAUUAUCGUCAAUGUCUGCUGAUUCUUUGGGCCAGAGGAUGAACAAGGUUGAGGAACACAGCUUUUGCUAGUUCCUCAGCCACAUCCCAUGCUGGGAAUUCACAGCUGCUGUGUGGUGGCUUGGGGGAGAUUUAUUGGGAAAGAGUAAGUUUUAGUUAAUUCCAACUGCUCAGCAGAGUCACAUGUGGCUCUCACCCAAGAGUCCAGACCCUCUCUUUAAGGGAGGGAUAACCGUGAGGGAAAAGUGAGAGGAAAAUGCCGAAAGCAGGCAAAAAGAGUGAUGGAAGAGAAAUAGCAUUCACUUGGGAUUCAGGCUGCAAACAGGGAAAAUCGUAGAGAAAGAAACCCUUCUCUUUUUCUGAAUGCUGCUCCCAGCUCCCCAUGGCUCCAAUCCUCUUGUAAUUGAGGUCUGAAUUGGAGAGCUUCCUAAGGCUGCUGAGUGUGAUCACACUUAAUUUCAAGUAGCAAAGUCCAUUUCAACCCAUAUUCUCACACUGACAGGGUGAAUCUGAAUAAUAGCUGUAUUGAGGCUGGUUUUUGAAUGACUUGCGUGGCCAAUAUGAAUGUUACUUUUUUAGAAGAGAAUGUGUUUAAUAGUUCAGAAACAUCGUUUUGCUGACCCCAGAAUCAUCUCAGGAAUUCCGUCCAGUACAGCUCUUUGAAGCGCUAGUUCAAAACAAUGAUUGUCUCCCAGUGCUCCCUCCAAGAUCUCUGCACUGGAGCAAUUUCCCAAGGCUUGGUUUCUGGCUAUGUUACCGGAUGCUCACGCCCGAUGAAGCCUGACUCUCCAGGGGCCCAGGAUGGCAGAGAAGUUCCAGGUUUCAUGUCAAGACAGAGACAGAACAGCUUCUAGAGGAAAACAAGAGGCCAUCUCCUCUCAGACUUACGUACAAGCUUCUCAGUGGACUUGUCAGAUCUCAUUGCCUAAAUUUGUGUCCCAUGCACAUUCCUAACAACAAUAAUGGCCACUAUUGGCUUCAGCUAAUGGGGAUCCACCUUCUGGAUAUGGGUACAAGUUAAUGAAGCUUACAGCUGAGAGGAUGUGGGAUGAUAAGGGAACCGAUUAGAAUUCAGUUAGGAAGGUCAAGGUGGGGAAUAGUGGUUGGGAACCCACUGUGCCAACUACACUGCUUUUCUUCAUUGUUCUUGGAGACUCACAGACUCAAGAUUUUAAUUGCCUCAGUGCAGAUGAACCUCAUCACCACCUUUGACCAAGACCCCUCUUGAUUUCUAGUUACACUUAGUGCGUGCGUGCUAAGUUGCUUCAAUUGUGUCCGACUCUGUGAAACCCCACGAACCAUGGCCUGCCAGGCUCCUCUGUCUAUGCAAUUCUCCAGGCAAGAAUACUGGAGUAGGGAGCCAUUCCCUUCUCAGGGAACCUGUACUCAUAAGUAUAUUGAUCAAGGCAUUGGUUAUCUAUUGUUGCAUAACAACUUGCCUCAAAAAACUUAAUGGCUGAAAAUAAUAUAUAUCUCACAAUUCUGUGGGCCAAUAAACUGGGUGUGGCUUAGCUGGUGAUUUUGGCUCAAGAUUUUUUUAGUGAGGUUUCCCUCUAAUUGGUGGCUGGGACUGAAGUUUCAUCUGAAGUCUCAGCUGGGAUGAAGGAUCUAUUUGCAGGCUCACUCGUGGGUGUUGGCAGAUCUGAGUCCCAUGCCACAUGUGCCUCUGCACAUGAGAGAGUACACCCAAGAGGAAAGCCAUGCUUUUAAAUACCCUAAUUCCAGAAG
ensembl:lncRNA